UUGAAAGGGAAGAGAAGAAAAGAAGAGGGAUAAAGGGGAAGAGGAGAGAAGAGAAGAGGAGGGAGAGAGGAGAGGCCGAGACCGCCUCCCCCUUCGUUUUAGCGCAGAAAUGAAGUUAGGGUUUGGGUUUGGAUUUGAGGGCGUAUUUAAUGCACUAUCUCAAGACCAAAAACAGAAGUACUAUCUGGAUAAUUUUAUCAAGUCGUGAUGACUUUCUUGAAGAUCAAUAACACAA
rnacentral:lncRNA from 1 species